GUGAGGAAUAUUGGUCAAUGGGCGGAAGCCUGAACCAGCCAUCCCGCGUGAAGGAAGAAUGCGCUAUGCGUUGUAAACUUCUUUUCCAGGGGAAGAAAACCUCUGAUGUAUCGGAGCUUGCCGGUACCCUGGGAAUAAGCAUCGGCUAACUCCGUGCCAGCAGCCGCGGUAAUACGGAGGAUGCGAGCGUUAUCCGGAUUUAUUGGGUUUAAAGGGUGCGUAGGCGGAUAAAUAAGUCAGUGGUGAAACCCUGCAGCUUAACUGUAGACUUGCCGUUGAUACUGUUUAUCUUGAGUUUGGUCAAGGCAGGCGGAAUGUGUAAUGUAGCGGUGAAAUGCUUAGAUAUUACACAGAACACCGAUUGCGAAGGCAGCUUGCUGGGCCGGUACUGACGCUGAUGCACGAAAGCGUGGGGAUCGAACAGGAUUAGAAACCCUAGUAGUCC
rnacentral:rRNA from 1 species